GUGCCAGCAGCCGCGGUAAUACGUAGGGGGCAAGCGUUGUCCGGAAUCAUUGGGCGUAAAGCGCGUGUAGGCGGCUGGCUAAGUCCGCUCUGAAAGCCCGGGGCUCAACCCCGGGAGGCGGGUGGAUACUGGCCAGCUCGAGUCCGGAAGAGGAGUGUGGAAUUCCUGGUGUAGCGGUGAAAUGCGCAGAUAUCAGGAGGAACACCAAUGGCGAAGGCAGCACUCUGGGACGGUACUGACGCUGAGACGCGAAAGCGUGGGGAGCAAACAGGAUUAGAUACCCUCGUAGUCC
rnacentral:rRNA from 1 species